AAAAAUUCCACAAUAUCUGCUUGUCCUUUCAUUUUUAGCUUUCAAAAUUAGUUUCAGCAUUCAAAUACACCAAAAAAUACAAAACAAUGCGUAUAAAAAUAGAAAACAAAGAAAUAUUCACUGUUCAUUGGUUGUAAGCAGCUUUUAAUUGUUCCUUGGGUGUUCUUUCUUAUAGCUUGAUUUGAGAUUUUGGUUGAGUUGGUUUGGGGUUUAUUCCUGCUGGGUCAUGGUCUUUUCUGUUGGAUUUCUGAGUUUUCCGGGUUGAUAGAUUGCAUUCCUGGGUUUCUUGUUGCUGCUGGUUCCCGGAGCAUUUUGCUGCAUUAAGCUGCUACUGACUACGUUCUCCUGUUUUGUAAUUCACUCUGCCAGGUACACACACUCGAGACUGUUUCAAUGUAGCUCUCCUGAUACAAAUGAAAUGAAGUUGAAGUUUAUGCUAUAGACCUCCUGUUUGGUGUCUCUGCUACGUUUGAAUACCUUUGUGUGUGAUUUGGUUGAUUAUUUGAUGUAAUUAAAGGUAGACUGGAAAUAAGAUUGCAACUUUUGUGUGUGAUUUGGUUGAUUAUUUGACGUAGUUAAAGGUAGAGUGGAAAUAAGACUGCAAUAGAUGCUGACUGUAGUCUACAACUGAAAAUUGUUAUGAUCUAAUAAGUUUGUUUUCCAUUAAUUGUUAUGGAACGAAAUAUCAGGUUGAUAUAGUAAUUCACAUUGGUUAUAGUAUAGUCCACUUCCUAUUAGCUGUAUAUUGGUCCUGUUUAAAAUGACAUAGGGACAUGAUGAAGCUUUGAGCAUUUGUUUUGAUUCUAGCUCAGUGAUUGAAUAUGAUACAUAGAUGGAUAUCGCAUUUUAUUGAAAUAAGACUUGCUUUUGUAGUGGAACAAAUACAAAGGUCUUUAUCACAUUUUUUUCUAACUGACUGAAAAGAGAGUUUUCCGGGUUGAUAGAUUGCAUUCGUGGGUUUCUUGUUGCUGCUGGUUCACUGAGCAUUUUGCUGCUGCUGACUACGUUUCUCCUGUUUUGUAAUUCACUCUGCCGGGUACACACACUCGAGACUGUUUCAAUGUAGCUCUCCUGAUACAAAUGAAAUGAAGUUGAAGUUUAUGCUAUAGACCUCCUGUUUGGUGUCUCUGCUACGUUUGAAUACCUUUGUGUGUGAUUUGGUUGAUUAUUUGAUGUAAUUAAAGGUAGACUGGAAAUAAGAUUGCAAUAGAUGCUGACUGCAGUCUAUAGACUGAAUUUUUUUAUGAUUUAUAAGUUUGUUUUCCAUCAAUUGUUGUGGAAUUAAAUAUUAG
rnacentral:lncRNA from 1 species